rnacentral:rRNA from 1 species
UACGAAGGGGGCUAGCGUUGCUCGGAAUCACUGGGCGUAAAGGGUGCGUAGGCGGGUCUUUAAGUCAGAGGUGAAAUCCCAAGGCUCAACCUUGGAACUGCCUUUGAUACUGGGGAUCUUGAGUCCGGGAGAGGUGAGUGGAACUGCGAGUGUAGAGGUGAAAUUCGUAGAUAUUCGCAAGAACACCAGUGGCGAAGGCGGCUCACUGGCCCGGUACUGACGCUGAGGUGCGAAAGCGUGGGGAGCAAACAGG